CAAUACCGCGAGGUGGAGCAAAUCCCUAAAAGCCGUCUCAGUUCGGAUUGCAGGCUGCAACUCGCCUGCAUGAAGCUGGAAUUGCUAGUAAUCGCGGAUCAGCAUGCCGCGGUGAAUACGUUCCCGGGCCUUGUACACACCGCCCGUCACACCAUGAGAGUCGGGAACACCCGAAGUCCGUAGUCUAACCGCAAGGAGGGCGCGGCCGAAGGUGGGUCCGGUAAUUGGGGUGAAGUCGUAACAAGGUACC
rnacentral:rRNA from 1 species